CUAAGUUUGAUGGCGACCGGCGCACGGGUGAGUAACACGUAUCCAACCUGCCGAUAACUCGGGGAUAGCCUUUCGAAAGAAAGAUUAAUACCCGAUGGCAUAAUAGAACCGCAUGGUUUGAUUAUUAAAGAAUUUCGGUUAUCGAUGGGGAUGCGUUCCAUUAGGCAGUUGGUGGGGUAACGGCCCACCAAACCUUCGAUGGAUAGGGGUUCUGAGAGGAAGGUCCCCCACAUUGGAACUGAGACACGGUCCAGACUCCUACGGGAGGCAGCAUG
rnacentral:rRNA from 1 species